UACGUAGGGUCCGAGCGUUGUCCGGAAUUAUUGGGCGUAAAGGGCUCGUAGGCGGUUUGUCACGUCGGGAGUGAAAACUCAGGGCUCAACCCUGAGCGUGCUUCCGAUACGGGCAGACUAGAGGUAUGCAGGGGGAGAACGGAAUUCCUGGUGUAGCGGUGGAAUGCGCAGAUAUCAGGAGGAACACCGGUGGCGAAGGCGGUUCUCUGGGCAUUACCUGACGCUGAGGAGCGAAAGCAUGGGGAGCGAACAGG
rnacentral:rRNA from 1 species